rnacentral:lncRNA from 1 species
CCAAUUAUGGCUGACGACACAGCACAGCACAGCAGACAUAGCUUUAUCGACUCGGCUAUUGAUUCUGAUCAAGAAUAUAUAUACCCUAUGGGGUCGGAAACGUUCCUCUCUGUGCGAGGAAACACACACACACACGAUAUGCCUGCACUGCACCCAGCUCCCCAUCCAGGGCUCUUCAUACCCUUCAUAACCCAUGGCCCGCAUUGCCCUUCUAUUCUAGGCGUU